rnacentral:rRNA from 1 species
AUUGAACGCUGGCGGCAGGCCUAACACAUGCAAGUCGAACGAGUGGCGGACGGGUGAGUAAUGUCUGGUAAACUGCCUGAUGGAGGGGGAUAACUACUGGAAACUGUAUCCAAUACCGCAUACCAUCAGAUGUGCCCAGAUGGGAUUAGCUAGUUGGUGGGGUAACGGCUCACCAAGGCGACGAUCCCUAGCUGGUCUGAGAGGAUGACCAGCCAAACUGGAACUGAGACACGGUACAGAAUCAUACGGGAGGCAGAAGUGGGGAAUAUUGCAAAAUGGGCGCAAGCCUGAUGCAGCCAUGCCGGGUGUGUGAAGAAGGCCUUCGGGUUGUAAAGCACUUUCAGCGAGGAGGCGUUACUCGCAGAAGAAGCACCGGCUAACUCCGUGCCAGCCGCCGCGGUAAUAC